AGUGAACGCUGGCGGUAGGCCUAACACAUGCAAGUCGAACGGCAGCACAGAGGAGCUUGCUCCUUGGGUGGCGAGUGGCGGACGGGUGAGGAAUACAUCGGAAUCUACCCUGUCGUGGGGGAUACCGUAGGGAAACUUACGCUAAUACCGCAUACGACCUACGGGUGAAAGCAGGGGACCUUCGGGCCUUGCGCGAUUGAAUGAGCCGAUGUCGGAUUAGCUAGUUGGCGGGGUAAAGGCCCACCAAGGCGACGAUCCGUAGCUGGUCUGAGAGGAUGAUCAGCCACACUGGAACUGAGACACGGUCCAGACUCCUACGGGAGGCAGCAGUGGGGAAUAUUGGACAAUGGGCGCAAGCCUGAUCCAGCCAUACCGCGUGGGUGAAGAAGGCCUUCGGGUUGUAAAGCCCUUUUGUUGGGAAAGAAAUCCAGCUGGCUAAUACCCGGUUGGGAUGACGGUACCCAAAGAAUAAGCACCGGCUAACUUCGUGCCAGCCGCCGCAGUAA
rnacentral:rRNA from 1 species